rnacentral:rRNA from 1 species
UGGGGAAUAUUGGACAAUGGGCGCAAGCCUGAUCCAGCCAUGCCGCGUGAGUGAUGAAGGCCCUAGGGUUGUAAAGCUCUUUCACCGGUGAAGAUAAUGACGGUAACCGGAGAAGAAGCCCCGGCUAACUUCGUGCCAGCAGCCGCGGUAAUACGAAGGGGGCUAGCGUUGUUCGGAUUUACUGGGCGUAAAGCGCACGUAGGCGGACUAUUAAGUCAGGGGUGAAAUCCCGGGGCUCAACCCCGGAACUCCCUUUGAUACUGGUAGUCUUGAGUUCGAGAGAGGUGAGUGGAAUUCCGAGUGUAGAGGUGAAAUUCGUAGAUAUUCGGAGGAACACCAGUGGCGAAGGCGGCUCACUGGCUCGAUACUGACGCUGAGGUGCGAAAGCGUGGGGAGCAAACAGG